rnacentral:rRNA from 1 species
AGUCCACAUCGACGGGGAGGUUUGGCACCUCGAUGUCGGCUCAUCACAUCCUGGGGCUGUAGUAGGUCCCAAGGGUUGGGCUGUUCGCCCAUGAAAGUGGUACGCGAGCUGGGUUCAGAACGUCGUGGGACAGUUCGGUCCCUAUCCGUCGCAGGCGUAGGAAAUUUGAGAAGACCUGUCCUUAGUACGAGAGGACCGGGAUGGACGUACCUCUGGUGUACCAGUUGU